GACGAACGCUGGCGGCGUGCUUAACACAUGCAAGUCGAACGUGAUUUUUGUGGAAAUUCUUUCGGGAAUGGAAAUGAAAUGAAAGUGGCGAACGGGUGAGUAACACGUGAGCAACCUACCUUACACAGGGGGAUAGCCGUUGGAAACGACGAUUAAUACCGCAUGAGACCACAGAAUCGCAUGAUAUAGGGGUCAAAGAUUUAUCGGUGUAAGAAGGGCUCGCGUCUGAUUAGCUAGUUGGAAGGGUAAAGGCCUACCAAGGCGACGAUCAGUAGCCGGUCUGAGAGGAUGAACGGCCACAUUGGAACUGAGACACGGUCCAGACUCCUACGGGAGGCAGCAGUGGGGAAUAUUGCACAAUGGGGGGAACCCUGAUGCAGCGACGCCGCGUGAGCGAAGAAGGUUUUCGAAUCGUAAAGCUCUGUCCUAUGAGAAGAUAAUGACGGUAUCAUAGGAGGAAGCCCCGGCUAAAUACGUGCCAGCAGCCGCGGUAAUACGUAUGGGGCGAGCGUUGUCCGGAAUUAUUGGGCGUAAAGGGUACGUAGGCGGUUUUUUAAGUCAGGUGUGAAAGCGUGAGGCUUAACCUCAUUAAGCACUUGAAACUGGAAGACUUGAGUGAAGGAGAGGAAAGUGGAAUUCCUAGUGUAGCGGUGAAAUGCGUAGAUAUUAGGAGGAAUACCGGUGGCGAAGGCGACUUUCUGGACUUUUACUGACGCUCAGGUACGAAAGCGUGGGGAGCAAACAGG
rnacentral:rRNA from 1 species